AAUCCGCAGGGAGUGUUGCGAGCAGCCUUGAACAAUUAGACAUAGCCUUGAAAGACAUAGAAUAAGGGAGUAAAUAAGUGAUAAAGCAGGUGCGCAGAAAAGAAGCUGAAGACUGAAAUAACUUGGAAAACAGAUAUGAGACCGAAGCCAGAAGACGUGUGUCUUGCUCGACAGCACCAAUCAGAAGCUUAGCCGCGGCGCGUGAACAGAAAGUAUUAACUAAUCGUGGAACAAGCCUGAGCGCGUGGACAGCUAAUGAAUCUAUAUAAGCACAAAUUUGUAAACAAUAAAGGUCUUUGGUUUUACCCGCACCAGAGUCCAUGAACCAUCCCUACAAAUGGCGCCCAACGUGGGGCACGAAACUACAGCGUGGAACGUACGUCGGUAGGGACUCCAGUUGGACGAAUUCAUCAGCGGAGGAGCUGAACGACCCGGGUCUCAAUCACCAAAUAAAGGGUAUGCUUGUGUUUUGACAGAUCACGGGCCCCACUGGGUUCCAGCUCGGUGUGUACGGCCAGCGCUCACAAAGCUGCAGGUACCAGGCAAACAACAGACAACCGCAAAAGACCCUGAAGGGCCUGCCGAGACAUCAGAAGACAUUUUGAGUGACAGCGCAAACUGUUUUGAUGGGAAAUGACUUGCUUGAGACAGUAGGAGUUGUGUAUCAGGCCUCGCUAGGCCUCAGGUGUCUAUACGUCUAGUCUGUAAGCGCUGCUAUGGAUACAUUACUGUACAUUGUAUAUUUUGUAGAAAGUAUUUGAUUUAUUUUAAUGGUAAUCAGCACAUUUAUCUGAAUCAUACUUUAGCACCAUUGUGUAUUCAUUGUAAGAGAAUCAAUAGUAUACGUAAGAUCUAUUCAAUCCGUUAUUUUUGUUGUUAUACAGACCGGUAUAUAAAAUGGAGAGGAUAACGACCUUUUUUAAGUUUGAUUGGGUGUAUACAAGCAAUAUGGGUGCCACCACAACCAAAGACGAAUGUGUGGGUCACGUUAGCGAAUCUAACAGGACAAGAUUUUAUUUGCCUGUCUAUUGUAUCUCCAGGGAACCCUUUUUCAACAUGUCUUGUCGGAGUCCUGGUGGAUACCUGGCCCAACACUAUCCAGUCCCAGCAUUUGUGCUCCAGUUUCAACGCCUGUGUCGACAACUGGGACGGGUGGAGUGCUCAUUUACCCCAAUUACCACAGGAGCCGCAAGAACUUGGACUCCUGGGUUCAGUUAAAAUGGACAGCUGUUUGUAUUUUAAUUAUUCAGGGCGCAAUCGAACAACAGCGCAAAAUAUCAACUCGUCUCUGUCCAUAUAUAGAAAUAAUACAGCCUGGUGCAACUAUACUAGCCCGAAUAUUUCCACAUCUAGCAACGCGCCUCUGGCGCUUCCCUCAGGGGUCUUUUUUAUCUGUGGCAAUCACGCAUGGGGAGGAAAUACCAUCUCAUAUAAAAGGAGGGCCUUGCAGUUUGGGGAGGCUCACUUUGCUAACACCAAAUACAUCAAUAAUUUUUAAUCACCGGCGCUCCAAGCGAUCGACCCAUGCCUUUAAGGCAGAGUGCAGGGAUGAUGUGGAAUUUUGGAACAGUGAAAAGAUAAUUAUGGCUUCUAUAGCUGCACCAGGGGUGGCAGCCUCACAGGCCUUAGCCACACUAAAUAAGUUGGGAUGUUGGCUAGCCAAGCAGACUAAUGCUACUUCUCAAGCCUUGAGUAGUUUGCUUUUAGAUGUUGAUUCUGUAAGACAUGCAACCUUGCAAAAUCGUGCAGCAACUGAUUUUUUGCUUUUAGCACGGGAGCACGAGUGUAAAGACCUUGACGGUAUGUGUUGUAUGAAUCUCUCCGAUCACUUGGAAUCUAUUCACCGUAGCAUUCAACAAUUGAAAGAGGGAGUUAAAAAGCUACAACUUGAUGAUGGAUGGGGUUGGAUAGAAAAUCUUUUUAGUAACUGGGGAAUGAAUGAUUGGCUUAAAGGUUUGAUAAAGAUUGGGCUAGUUUUAUUAUGUGCUAUUUGUGGCCUCCUGCUCAUUAUUCAGUGUUUGCUAUCCUGUCUGCAAAAGGCCCUGCAGAGGAUGAUAAACACUGCAUUUUGGGUAGAAAAACAAAAAGGAGGAAUUGUGGGAAUCUGCAGGGAGUGUUGCGAGCAGCCUUGAACAAUUAGACAUAGCCUUGAAAGACAUAGAAUAAGGGAGUAAAUAAGUGAUAAAGCAGGUGCGCAGAAAAGAAGCUGAAGACUGAAAUAACUUGGAAAACAGAUAUGAGACCGAAGCCAGAAGACGUGUGUCUUGCUCGACAGCACCAAUCAGAAGCUUAGCCGCGGCGCGUGAACAGAAAGUAUUAACUAAUCGUGGAACAAGCCUGAGCGCGUGGACAGCUAAUGAAUCUAUAUAAGCACAAAUUUGUAAACAAUAAAGGUCUUUGGUUUUACCCGCA